rnacentral:rRNA from 1 species
AGAGCGAACGCUGGCGGCAGGCCUAACACAUGCAAGUCGAGCGCCCGUAGCAAUACGGGAGCGGCAGACGGGAUAGUAACACGUGGGAACGCGCCCUUCGGUUCGGAAUAACUCAGGGAAACUUGAGCUAAUACCGGAUACGCCCUUACGGGGAAAGAUUUAUUGCCGAAGGAACGGCCCGCGUCCGAUUAGCUAGUUGGUGAGGUAAUGGCUCACCAAGGCGACGAUCGGUAGCUGGUCUGAGAGGAUGACCAGCAUCACUGGGACUGAGACACGGCCCAGACUCCUACGGGAGGCAGCAGUGGGGAAUAUUGGACAAUGGGCGCAAGCCUGAUCCAGCCAUGCCGCGUGAGUGAUGACGGCCUUAGGGUUGUAAAGCUCUUUCGCUAGGGACGAUAAUGACGGUACCUAGACAAGAAGCCCCGGCUAACUUCGUGCCAGCAGCCGC